GUUUCCUGAUGUGUACUACUGAGUACGGUUCAUGCUGCCGGACGCCCACUGCAUAGGGAGCGCCUAUGGAGAACAGUGUCGGGGGACAGAAGUGAUGUCACUGUGCGUGGUGACAGUGUGUGAGAGAGGACAGAAGUGAUGUCACUGUGCGUGUUGACAGUGUGUGAGCAGAGGGAGGGGACUCACAGUCUGGCUCAGUGGUGCCUUGGUCCCCAUGGCAACUCCUGGAGAUAUCAUGAACAAACAAAAGUAUGACAGCAAUUAUAAUGAUGAGCAGGACUGCACCAGCCACAUACCAGCCCACAUCAGCUCCUGCAGAUCAGAAACAAGAGACCCACACACUUGUUCAGGACACACACGUAAACACCGCUGUCGUUAAGCUGGCUAUUGUUGAUACUGACAUCAUGAGAGGUCCAGUGCAGGUUACGUCUUGAAGGACCUGGUGAGGUGAAGCGUGCGUCUUCAGAGCAGAUCUGGUCAUGACGGCCCUCACUGCUGCAGGACGAUUUGCAGGUGGCUCUCCCAUUUCCACUGUUCACCUUCAGCCAGUAGAUCACAUAGGACCAACGACGGUGGAUUGUGAAGAGACAGCUUAGAAGGAUGGCUGACCCUUCAGUUACAUUCUGUUGAGUUGGCAGCUCAUGCUCAACUGUAGACAAGAAGAAUAAUGUCAUCAGUACAAAAUCUCUGAAAAUAUUGUGCCGUUGGUGAUUGUAAGUGUCUACUGUUGAAUGAGUGUUCCCAAAAUCCUGUGCGAUUGAAAGUGUGAAUGAGAUAAUGUGUAAAUGUCAGUUAUUGUAGUUGUAUUUGAGUUACCAUAUGGUGUAUAUGUUAGCUUCUUUAGUCUCUCUUUGGUUGUGCCUAAUGUGCUUAUCCCCGUAUUGAUGUGUAUGAUAACACCCUUGUUGUGUGUUGCAUGUACGACAGGCCUGUAGUCAACACCAACUUAAGUCAAGACUGAGUCAAAAGAGGUUCAAAUCCAAUACUGAAUCCAAAACUGUUCUAGACCAAGCCCUAAGUGAGAGACCGAAAACAGAAAACUAAUUCUCAACACCACUACUAACUAUGUAAUUUUCUUUUUACACUAUUUUAUACUUUUUCAGGUAAAAGAUUAGUUCUGUAAUGUCAAAGCACAGCCAUUACAGAUUAAUUUUGAAUAAAUGAAACAUCUAUUUUGUCUGAUCAUGGUCAGAUAAAUGAAAAAUUCUAAUUUCUAAUUUAGAAAAAUAGAUAUAUUUUAAGCAUGCGUUGGACUCGGUCAAGACCAAGUAGAAAAUUUGGCAAUACCAGUGGCCAACACCAAGACAAGUCCGAGUCCAAAUACCAGCGGGUCCAAGACUGAGACAAUAAAAAAAAUGUCUUGAUUCUGGACUCGAAUUCAAGACCGGACUCGAGUACUACAGCCCUGAUGUACAGUUGAGAUUAUCCGUGUGUUGCACUUUAUUGUUACAUGUGUUGGCUGUGAUGCCUGUUCCAUUAUAUGGCCAUGCUGGCCAAAGGGGACCACUGGGUGUGGUUGCUACAGCUGAUAGCAGUGUACUGUGCAAUUAUUUCCAUUCCACAUAAAA